UACGUAGGGUGCAAGCGUUAAUCGGAAUUACUGGGCGUAAAGCGUGCGCAGGCGGUGAUGUAAGACAGAUGUGAAAUCCCUCGGCUCAACCGGGGAACUGCGUCCGAUACUGGUGGGCUCGAAUCCGGGAGAGGGAUGUGGAAUUCCAGGUGUAGCGGUGAAAUGCGUAGAUAUCGUAAGGAAGACCAGUGGCGAAGGCGGGUCUCUGGACA
rnacentral:rRNA from 1 species